rnacentral:rRNA from 1 species
AUUGAACGCUGGCGGCAGGCCUAACACAUGCAAGUCGAGCGGAGCGGCGUACGGGUGAUUAAUGCCUAGGAAUCUGCCUGGUAGUGGGGGAUAACGUCCGGCAACGGGCGCUACUCCCGCAUACUACCAGAUGAGCCUAGGUCGGCUUAGCUAGUUGGUGGGGUAAAGGCCUACCAAGGCGACGAUCCGUAACUGGUCUGAGAGGAUGAUCAGUCCAACUGGAACUGGGACAAGGUCCAGAACACUAGGGGAGACAGCAGUGGGGAAUAUUGGACAAUGGGCGAAAGCCUGAUCGAGCAAUGCCGCGUGUGUGAAGAAGGUCUUCGGAUUGUAGAGCGCUUUAAGUCAGGAGACGUUACCAACAGAAUAAGCACAGGCUAACUUCGUGCCAGCAGCCGCGGUAAUAC